rnacentral:piRNA from 1 species
AAAUUUGAUUUGGACUCUGGUUGCAU